CAUCGUCCCGACCUCCAACCCUUUGUGAACAUAUCUUGUUGCUUCGGGGGCGACCCUGCCGUUCGCGGCAUUCCCCCCGGAGGUCAUCAAAACACUGCAUUAUUACGUCGGAGUAAAAAGUUAAUUUAAUAAAACUUUCAACAACGGAUCUCUUGGUUCUGGCAUCGAUGAAGAACGCAGCGAAAUGCGAUAAGUAAUGUGAAUUGCAGAAUUCAGUGAAUCAUCGAAUCUUUGAACGCACAUUGCGCCCCCUGGUAUUCCGGGGGGCAUGCCUGUUCGAGCGUCAUUUCACCACUCAAGCCUCGCUUGGUAUUGGGCGUCGCGAGUCUCUCGCGCGCCUUAAAGUCUCCGGCUGUUUGACCCGUCUCCCAGCGUUGUGGCAACUAUUUCGCAGUGGAGUUCGAGUUGGAUCGGCCGUUAAAUCUUUCAAAGG
rnacentral:misc_RNA from 1 species